ACUCUCGGCAACGGAUAUCUAGGCUCUCGCAUCGAUGAAGAACGUAGCAAAAUGCGAUACCUGGUGUGAAUUGCAGAAUCCCGUGAACCAUCGAGUUUUUGAACGCAAGUUGCGCCCGAAGCCAUUAGGCUGAGGGCACGUCUGCCUGGGUGUCUCA
rnacentral:rRNA from 1 species